rnacentral:rRNA from 1 species
UGGGGAAUAUUGCACAAUGGGCGCAAGCCUGAUGCAGCCAUGCCGCGUGUAUGAAGAAGGCCUUCGGGUUGUAAAGUACUUUCAGCGGGGAGGAAGGCGAUAAGGUUAAUAACCUUGUCGAUUGACGUUACCCGCAGAAGAAGCACCGGCUAACUCCGUGCCAGCAGCCGCGGUAAUACGGAGGGUGCAAGCGUUAAUCGGAAUUACUGGGCGUAAAGCGCACGCAGGCGGACUGGCAAGUCGGAUGUGAAAUCCCCGGGCUCAACCUGGGAACUGCAUUCGAAACUGGCAGGCUGGAGUCUUGUAGAGGGGGGUAGAAUUCCAGGUGUAGCGGUGAAAUGCGUAGAGAUCUGGAGGAAUACCGGUGGCGAAGGCGGCCCCCUGGACAAAGACUGACGCUCAGGUGCGAAAGCGUGGGGAGCAAACA